GCCAUUAUAGCUCAGUUGGUUAGAGCGUCGCACUUGUAAUGCGAAGGUCGUGAGUUCAACUCUCAUUGAUGGCU
rnacentral:tRNA from 1 species